rnacentral:misc_RNA from 1 species
GUAAUCUCUAUGAUUUAUCACUGAUCUCUCCCCAAAUAUUGGUUCCACCAUUGCUCUCAAGCUCGCCCAUGUGAUCUCAAAGUAUUCCUUCGGAUCAAUGAGGGUGACAUCAGCAUCGAAUUGAAGGGAUUUGGCAAGCAAGGAACCUGCAAUACCCCCUCCUAUCACCACCAAUCUCCUGCUCUCUCCUCCCGAUUCGUUCUGCCAGUUCAUUUUGUGAUUAAAUUCUGCAAGGAAGAAUGAAUUU